AAGCUGGCCUUCGGGUCCGCAUUGUAAUUUGUAGAGGAUGCUUUGGGUGAAACGCCAGUCUAAGUUCCUUGGAACAGGACGUCAUAGAGGGUGAGAAUCCCGUAUGUGACUGGAAAUGUUAACCUAUGUAAAGCUCCUUCGACGAGUCGAGUUGUUUGGGAAUGCAGCUCUAAAUGGGAGGUAAAUUUCUUCUAAAGCUAAAUAUUGGCGAGAGACCGAUAGCGCACAAGUAGAGUGAUCGAAAGAUGAAAAGCACUUUGGAAAGAGAGUUAAAAAGCACGUGAAAUUGUUGAAAGGGAAGCGCUUGCAAUCAGACUUGUUUAAACUGUUCGGCCGGUCUUCUGACCGGUUUACUCAGUUUGGACAGGCCAGCAUCAGUUUCGGCGGCCGGAUAAAGGCUCUGGGAAUGUGGCCUUCACUUCGGUGAAGGUGUUAUAGCCCAGGGUGUAAUACGGCCAGCCGGGACUGAGGUCCGCGCUUCGGCUAGGAUGCUGGCGUAAUGGUUGUAAGCGACCCGUCU
rnacentral:rRNA from 1 species